UACCGCGGUUACACGAAAAGCCCCAGCUGAUAGGCCCCGGCACAAAGGGUGGUUAAGGAAAACCCCCAUAAAGCCAAACUUUUCCCCAGCUGUGGUACGCAGCCCACGAGCGAAGACCUCGACGAAAGUAACUUUAUCCUACCUGAAGCCACUAAAGCUUGGACA
rnacentral:rRNA from 1 species